rnacentral:rRNA from 1 species
GAUGAACGCUAGUGGCAGGCCUAAUACAUGCAAGACGAACGGUAAGUUGAGUAGCAAUACUUGACCUAGAGUGUCGCACGGGUGCGUAACACGUAUGCAACCUACCCAUAACAGGAGGAUAGCUCCCCGAAAGGGGAAUUAACCCUCCAUAGUAUAAUUGGAUGGCAUCAUUUGAUUAUUAAAACUGAGGUGGUUAUGGAUGGGCAUGCGUCUGAUUAGUUAGUUGGCGGGGUAACGGCCCACCAAGGCGAUGAUCAGUAGGGGAACUGAGAGGUUGAUCCCCCACACUGGCACUGAGAUACGGGCCAGACUCCUACGGGAGGCAGCAGUAGGGAAUAUUGGUCAAUGGAUGGAAGUCUGAACCAGCCAUGCCGCGUGCAGGAAGAAGGCCUUAUGGGUUGUAAACUGCUUUUGCCAGGGGAUAAAAUAGCUGUGCGCAGCGAAUUGCAGGUACCUGGUGAAUAAGCCACGGCUAACUACGUGCCAGCAGCCGCGGUAAUACGUAGGUGGCAAGCGUUGUCCGGAUUUAUUGGGUUUAAAGGGUGCGUAGGCGGCCCUGUAAGUCAGUGGUGAAAUACUCCAGCUUAACUGGAGGGGUGCCAUUGAUACUGCAGGGCUUGAGUAAAGUUGAAGUUGGCGGAAUUGACGGUGUAGCGGUGAAAUGCUUAGAUAUCGUCAAGAACACCGAUAGUGAAGACAGCUAACUAAGCUUUAACUGACGCUGAGGCACGAAAGUGUGGGGAUCAAACAGGAUUAGAUACCCUGGUAGUCCACACUGUAAACGUUGAUGACUCGCUGUUGGCGAUACACAGCCAGCGGCCAAGCGCAAGCGAUAAGUCAUCCACCUGGGGAGUACGCCGGCAACGGUG